rnacentral:lncRNA from 1 species
AUGGCAGUUCUCAGAACAGCAGACAAUAAUUUUGCCUUUAUAAAUCAUAUGGUAUGGGCAAUAGCUGGAUCAACGGGUGGAAGCAGGCAGACGCCUAGUAAAUGCCCUAUCCAGCCCUAUCCACGUGAAAAACUUAAGUUAUUUGGUACCAGUAUUGUCCCAGGCAGGGCUCAGGUGAUGAGAGGUCAGCAGAUGUCCCACAUCCAGCCACCUCUCCGUGGACUAAAAGCAGCUCAGUGCUCUCUCCAAUGGAGAGGUCCCGAGGAAGGUUACGCUGAUGCAGAAAGAUCAAGUCGCGCCAAGACAACGAUGAUCAGGCUUGCAAAAGAGCCCAGUUUCCAUGGAGGCUCCUACGUGAAGCGAUCCAAAUUUUGCAGAGACUUCAUCCAGAAAGACUGGCUCAAAUCUGCUUCCGAGAGCUGCUGAGUCCUACAUACAACAAAAGGACAAAUGCAAGAGCCUGAUUAAAAAACCAAGGCAAGUCCCUUCUGUUUCAGAGUAUCAGAAGUUGGUGCAAACAGUGGGGAUCAAAACCCACAGUGACUUUGCAGUAUGACUAGCAGCAGCGCUGCUGAGGCAAGCAUUGAAUCUGGCCACAGCUUAGGCAUUUUGGCCCUUCUGCUUCAGAGGCACAUGAACCAUCGCUUUUGGGGAAAUGCACAAAUAGGUUGUUCUUCUCUAAGCCUGUGCUUUGACCACACUGAGCUGGAAAUGUAAAUUCUCGCCAGCCUGCAAAAUGCUUUGCAUUGUCACACGUAGAAUUAACGGCAGUAUUUAUGAGGACCAAACAGACUAAAUAUGAAGCUUUGCAUGCUAUCUCUGCCCCUGAACAAAACUUCCCAUGUCCUUAUAAUUCAGGCCUAUCUGCUAGAGCUGACAUCAUGUCCUUUCCACUCACAUUGAACUGCAGGAAAGUCUUUCUGCUCUAGGAGUUCGAGCAGACUUUCCUGUUUUCACCCAAACCCGGAUAUUGCACCUAAUAGACAACACCACCUCUCUAUUUAUCCAGAUAUUUUUAAUUUAUUAGGAGCAGUCACCCACAGUAUUAGCUGUUUUAUAAUUAAAAUGCACAAAAGAACAGGAUUAACUGGCAGAACACAAGCAGCUACCUACCCAACAAAGACAGGGC